GAUUAGGUUUCGGGGCAGGUAGUAGGGUGUCCAGGUCUCAGCGCUGAGUGACUAACUACAGUGGCUGCAGAACCACAGAGGUCUAAGCCUCUAUUUCCACAGUGCAGCGUUUCUCCUCUCUCCUCUCCUCUACUCCCUCGCUCGCUCACCCUCGCCGUGGACUCACACUGUGGCUACAAAUAGGGGUCACUGGAGGAGAACACCUGGCGCAGCGGGUCAUAGCGUUCCAGCCAAAGCCGAAUCCCUCAAAAGAGGCGCGAAUGAAAUCGGGCUUUGAGGGAGCCGUGUGAACAUCUGAGAGAGGAGAGCGAAAACAGCAUAUCCUCCCCACUUAGGGAUAUUUUCAUUAGCAUGUGAGCCUCCUUCUGGGCCAGGAGGGUGGCGGUCGUCGGUCGGAUGUGAGACGCUCGGCAGAGCCGAUGCCCCUCGUCUCAUUUCCACUGAGCUAACUUCAAGGACCUGAGACAGACCAGCAACCCAUCCAGCCAAUUCCCUGGACACAACGUAAUGAGCAGUCCCUGAGUUCCAUGGCUCACCAGUUUCAGUCCAAUUAUACACACCCUGGGACAUUACACAUGCAGAGUGGAGAGAGAAACGGAAUAUUCUAGAUCUGUUGACAACUAAGCGGUAGAAAGGAGUGACUUAAAAUUCAACAUGGCAACAUCCUAUGAGAAGUGGAGUUGAGAAACCACACUCCCAAAGGACUUCUUUUGAA